rnacentral:rRNA from 1 species
GGCAGCAGUAGGGAAUCUUCCGCAAUGGACGCAAGUCUGACGGAGCAACGCCGCGUGAGCGAUGAAGGUCUUCGGAUCGUAAAGCUCUGUUAUUAGGGAAGAACAAGUACCGUUUGAAUAAGGCGGUACCUUGACGGUACCUAACCAGAAAGCCACGGCUAACUACGUGCCAGCAGCCGCGGUAAUACGUAGGUGGCAAGCGUUGUCCGGAAUUAUUGGGCGUAAAGCGCGCGCAGGCGGUCCUUUAAGUCUGAUGUGAAAGCCCACGGCUCAACCGUGGAGGGUCAUUGGAAACUGGAGGACUUGAGUGCAGAAGAGGAGAGUGGAAUUCCACGUGUAGCGGUGAAAUGCGUAGAGAUGUGGAGGAACACCAGUGGCGAAGGCGACUCUCUGGUCUGUAACUGACGCUGAGGCGCGAAAGCGUGGGUAGCGAACAGGAUUAGAUACCCUGGUAGUCCACGCCGUAAACGAUGAGUGCUAGGUGU